rnacentral:lncRNA from 1 species
UCUCCUUCUUACUCUAUCUUGGUCAUUGACAGCAUACGCUGAGAUGGGAAUCCGCUUCCCAGGAUCGGGUUCAAGUGCAUCCAAAUCUGCUUGCAUUGGUUCAUCAUCUUCAUCAAUAGAUUCAUCAUCUUCUACAUGAGGUGUUGAGGUUUCGCCUCUACUCUUUGGUUGUUGCCAUAACACCAACUGCAAAUUGCUCUCAUUCCUCUCAAGAUGAACAGGAGAAGCAGAAGUACUAGAUGCAGCUGCUGCCUGAUUCGGUGUGGAUGAUUCAUCUCUUUUCUUUGUCUUUGAAGCAUUUUCCCACAUUGCAAAUAUGCUACUGCCAGCAAUCUUAUUUUUCUUCAUCUACAGUACAAGAAAACAAAGAAACAGAAAAAUUAAAACUUGCAUCUAGUCCAUUAUAGAAACAAAUCCAGAAAUUAGAGGCAUUGGAAUCAGCCACUGAUUGGAAUUGGAGGAGAACUGGAGGGGACGAACCAGAGGACUGGGACGAACUGCUGCUGCUCGGGGACGAACUGGAGGAGGGG